rnacentral:lncRNA from 12 species
AUGCUGAAGCCAGACUCCUUCUCAGAACAUUUCUUGCUUGGAGGAAUGAAAGUGGGACCCGCAGAGAGAAGAAUCUCACACAGCAGAAUUCUUAUAGAAAAGAGCCCUUCCGAAAAUAUUCCUGGACCUCUGACAUACAUAAGGAAUUAUCUUUGGGGUUCAGGAAUUGUGCCACACGCUGACAUGCAGCAUUCUCGGUGGAUGACAGUACUGGUGAUAAAUGCCGGCAUGGAAGAAAAAGAAGCAUCUCUGCCUUCACUGUGCUCAGAGAUACUGACACUCAAUUAACUUGGUUCAAUUAGCUCUUCUUUUUUUUCAAGACUGACUUUAUUUAUUUAUUUAUUUAUUUAUUUAUUUAUUUAUUUGCGAGUGCUCGCACAUGUGAGAGUAGGGGGAGCAGCAGAGGGAGAGGAGAAAAAGAGAGCCUCAAGCAGACUCUGUGCUGAGCAUGGAGCUGGACACAGGGUUCAAUCUCACCACCCUGAGAUCAUGACCUGAGCCAAAACCAAGCAUCAGAUGCUCAACCAACUGAACCACUGAGGUGCCCUCAAUUAGCUUUUCUUAGCUUCCCCACCAUCCAUUCAUUCAUCAACACACACACACACACACACACACACACACACACACACAUAUUUAUAUAUAUAAUAUCCAGGCAUUGUAUUAGGCAUUAGGGAUACAGCAAUGAGCAAAAAGAAACAAAGCACCAGGCUGGAGUGCUCUCUUUUAAUCAAAUAAUCACACAUGUGCAAAACUGCAACAGUGACACAUGCACCAAGAUAUCCAUUGUGCCCCUCAUUCUUGCUCCCCACUCCCAUAAAAUCCAACUAAAGCAGCUUCACUUUAAUCUAUUUUAUGUAUUGGACUUCCAGGUAAGAUUUAUUUAGGGCAAAAAUGAGGUUUGAUUGUGUAUAAAGUUGGAAAAGUAACUUUCUUUUAUUACAUUGGCUAUGAACUUUCUUUCUAUUGAAUCUUUAUAACUGUAUGUCUCAAAUCUGGGAAAAUAAAAUUUCUUAAAAAUUAUUUCUUAAUAUUGCU